UAGCCAUCCCCGCCGCUGUCUGCUGCAGCCGGGGAGGAAACUAUCAGCUGUGCGUUGCUGGAGGACCGAAGAAGCCAGGUUUGCCUCCUUUCGCGUCUGCUGACGAACCUCGGAGCCCGGCACCGGGGAAACUAGGCGGCGUCCCCGGCGGCUGAGCGCGCAGGGAUUUUCUCUAGGGCAUCCAAAAUGGUUUUAAAACAUAUUGGAUAAAAGCUGAGCCACCUGCCUGUGUGGGACUUCCAUAUCUAUACUCCCUGCUCCACUGUCUUCUGAUGGCAUUCUGACUACACUGAGGCCAAGUGACACGCCAUUCAAUAUGAGUGAUGAGAAGAGCCUUGCGGUAUCCCAAAAAUUGGUCUCACCUUCAAGGAGCACAAGCAGCUGCUCUUCCAAGCAAGGAAGUCGACAGGCCUGUUGGUGUUCGAAAAAUCUUAGUUGAGGAAGAAACAAGUGACAAGAAGCAACAACAACUCCAAGUCUCAGUGAUUGAAAGACAAGUCCAGAACUGGUCUGACGUCAGUUGAAGCUCUUACUAUAUUAACUGGAAAUCUAUUGCCAAGGAUUUCCAGGUGUUCAUAGUACAGUCAUAAAAUGUAUGAUCCUGAGGCUUUAGAAGAUUACUCAUGCCUUUCAAGUCAUGUUAAAGUAUGCGCCACAUGGUUUAAGACUUGGGAUUGCCUUGUGAUUUUAAAAACCUGAUUAACAGACUAAAUAAUCAAAACAACCCACUUUCCAGUCACGCCAGAUAGAGGCAACCACAAAACUUCCCUCCACAACACUCUUCAGCUGCAGGAAGAAUGAAGGUUGUCAAUGGUUUUCUAUUUCUGACAUCACUGCAAGGGCAGUGACUGAGAAGCCAGCAUUUGAAAGGUGCAGAGGAUGUGUGCGCUGUGGAAACAGCUGUGCUUGAGGGAAACGCUUUCAGUCCGUGUACUCAGCAGUAUGGAAAUGAACUUUGCCAGCUAAUGAGCAUGAAUAAACGCUUAGCUGCCUUCCCCCCACAAAGCAGCUUUCUAUAUUUGGUACUUUCAGAUGUUCAGUAUAACAGACUGAAUUUAAUGCCAGAUGACAGUGCCAGACUGACUUCAGUUAAACUUAAGCAAAGACCUUAAGAAGCUGCUUCCCCCAGCCUGUCCUGUUUCUCUCUCCACCUGAUAGUCACAGGGAGCUCUAAGCCCAACAACCCGAGGGCAGGACAUCAGCCCAGCUGCGGUGGCUAAGUCAGCAGGGCUGUGAUCCCUGGGGGCAUGGUUCCACCUGUGCCAUUCAUCUCAGGGCACUCAGCUCAAGGUGUGCAGCCUCUUUCUGGGUCACAGAGGGCGUGAGGCAUGGGGAAAGCCACACCCUACCUCCUGGAGCCUUUCAGUUCAGUUCGGUUCAGUCGCUCAGUCGUGUCCGACUCUUUG
rnacentral:lncRNA from 1 species